rnacentral:rRNA from 1 species
GUUAGGAAUAUUGGACAAUGGGCGAAAGCCUGAUCCAGCCAUGCCGCGUGAACGAUGAAGGCCUUCGGGUUGUAAAGUUCUUUAGCCGAUGAUUAUAAUGACUGUAGUCGGAAAAUAAGCCCCGGCUAACUUCGUGCCAGCAGCCGCGGUAAUACGAAGGGGGCGAGCGUUAUUCGGAAUCACUGGGCGUAAAGCGUGCGUAGGCGGUUUUGUAAGUUAGGAGUGAAAGCCCAGGGCUCAACCUUGGAAUUGCUCUUAAAACUGCAAGGCUCGAAUAUCGGAGAGGAUAGCGGAAUUUCCAGUGUAGCGGUGAAAUGCGUAGAUAUUGGAAGGAACACCAGUGGCGUAAGCGGCUAUCUGGACGAGUAUUGACGCUGAGGCACGAAAGCGUGGGGAUCAAACAGGAUUAGAUACCCCAGUAGUCC